rnacentral:rRNA from 1 species
AUAGUCUGGCCUGCCCACUGAUAAUAUAAUUAAAGGGCCGCGGUAUUCUGACCGUGCGAAGGUAGCAUAAUAAUUAGUCUCCUAAUUAGAGGCUUGUAUGAAUGGUCGGACAAGAUGGGAACUGUCUCGGUGCGAAAAAUAAAAUUUAACAUUUAAGUAAAAAGGCUUAAAUAAUAUGGGGGGACGAUAAGACCCUAUAAAGCUUUAUGAUAAGGCCUUUUUGUAAAGAAUUUCUAUUGUGAAAUUACUAGAAGGUUUAUAUCAUUUUACUGGGGCGGUAAAAGUAUAUAAUUGAAUAACUGCUUUUAUUAUUGAAAACAAUUAUAAUUGAAAUACAAAAUGAUCCAUUAUUAAUGAUUAUAAAAACAAGUUACUUUAGGGAUAACAGCGUAAUAUUUCUUGAGAGUCCUUAUCGAAAGAAAAGUUUGCGACCUCGAUGUUGAAUUAAGGGUAGCGUUAAGGCGCAGCAUCUUA